UUUCUCUUUAUAUUCUAUGUUAUUGUUGCAGUCUUUGCAGUUGUAACCUUGACUUGUGAUGAUUACUUCACUGUUUCUGAUCUUGACUCGAAAAUUAAUGAUACGUUUUCUGCAGGUGACGUAUUAUUCCAUAUUAAGGACGAGAUUAAUUUUUCAACUGACUGUAAAGACCAGGAACUUCUUAACAUAACAGCAAGUCCUGAUGUCCCUGGAGAAACUGUUGUUUUAUUAGCUGUAACGUUAUCUGACUAUUGUACAAGUUGGAUUUCUUGUGCCUUCGAAUGCACCAAGUCACAG